CGAAAUAUGCAGCAAAGAAAGGGCUUUGAAGCUGGAAAAUUUCAGCAACAUAUUUCCCUUGCUUGUAAGUGAUUUUAAUGUCUUUGCUUGAUGAUUUUUACAUUUUUGGAACCCCUAAAGCAUGAGCUUUCAUAUGAGGGGUCUAUUUUGCAAAAUAAUGAAGAGUCUAGGGUUUUGCCAUGAGAUUAAAUGUGUUGUUUUCUGUGUUUUUAUGGAAGAUUAUGAGUCCUAGUUGUCUGAUAAACAACUUUUGUGAAAGAAAUUGCAUGAAAACACCUUAAAAAGGGCUAGAUUGCUAAGUUGUAAAAUGAGUUGUAAAUGUGUGAAAUAGUUGAAAUUAUGAGUUGCUAUAGUUAUGAAAAUGGUUCAUCUAGACUCAAGGAGUAAAGAAAUGUGAUAAAAAUUAUUUUACGAGCCUAGGGGUAAUUUGGUAAUUUUGGCAAAAUAUAGGGGCAAAAUUGUAAAAAUUGCCCAAGUGUGUCAAUUGACUAAUUUGAUCAGUGCAUUGUUUUAAUAAGUUGAAUGUGAUAUUUUAGAUGAUGAAAAUCGAGAUUUGGACCUAGAACGGAAAGAAAUCGAUUAAGGGAUAAUUACGUCUUUUUUUCACCUUUAUGGUAUCAAGGUAAGUUCAUGUGUAAAUAAUGUAGCAUAAUUGUUAUAUUUAAGUUAUUGGCGUUAAAUAUAUGAUAUGCUGAUUUUUAUCAUGAAAUAUAUGCUUUGUGGUUAUUUUCGAAUAAAAUACAAGUUAUGUGUAUUAUCUGUUAAAUAUAAAGUGCUACCGAGUAUUAGUUUCGGUAUUUUACGGAAGAUGGCAAGGAGAUGUGUUCGAGGAAAAUCCCGUUUGAACCUUAGGAAUAGAUUAGGAUACAAGUGACAUGUCACUAGGAUGGUUGAGCAUCCGAACUCGUUGAGUUGAGUCCGAGUUCACUUAUGGAUGCGAAUGUUCGAACUCGUUGAGUUGAGUCCGAGUUCGUGAGAUGUAACUAGGCAUCCGAGCUCGUUGAGUUGAGUCCGAGUUCACUUAUGGAUGCGAAUGCCCGAGCUCGUUGAGUUGAGUCCGAGUUCACUUAUGGGCGGGUUACAUGGUAGCUUGGCUACAUAUGUGGCACUUAUGUGCAAACUUUCAAUGUAUCCGAAUUAUAUUCUGAUGUGUUCAACGGGUAAAAUUCUACUCAAAUAGAGGAAUACUCGAGAUAAAAGGGACGUAUUGGUAAAUGUUGUGAAAUGGAUACUUUGAACAGGUAUGUACUUAACCCUUAGGUUGAAAACUCGACAUAACAACAAUAUGGUAAGAUGAUAAAUGAAAAUGUGAUAUGAAUGUCUCGGUGAUGAUUAUACAAACGAUAUUGUAUUAAUUUUGUGAACAAUGAUCAUGAAUGAGUAAUUUAGCCUUGACAGAUUUGAGUUACUGCAGUAGUGUAACUUUAAAAAUACACUAAAAAUACUGGAAAAUGAGUUAGAGGCAGAAUAAAAUAUGAGAUUAAAGCUUAAUAGUCUAUUUUCACAUGAAAGAAACAGGGGAAGAAAAAGAAUUCCAUAUUGUGUGAUAUUUGAAUUCUUGUUGUCGAAACCAUCUUCAAAUCGAGUUUUGGAAAAUGGGAAUCGAUUUUAAAAAAUGAAAACCGGAGUCGCCACCAAUCUUUUUAGGUGUGAUUGGAUCACCUUUAAAACAUUUUUGUUUUAAAAUCAUUAGUUUUGGUCCACGAAAUAAAAGAUCGGGUUCGGGAGUCGGUUACGUACGAGGAAGGAUUAGCACCCUCGUAACGCCCAAAAAUUGGUACCUAAUUGAUUAUCAAAUGUCUUUAAUGUCGAAAGAAAAAAAAAUUAAGAUGUAGUCCUCUUUAAAAUAUUUUAACUUUGAAAAUUGGGAUUCACUAGCGUCAAAGUAUUGACAUUAAGUUAUCCCUUUUUUGAAAUUCCUAUCUCAAAACAGCAAAACGGUAUAUCCAAUAAGUUAGGACAUAUUGCUUUGAAAUUCCAAUAUAGUGGCUUGCAUUUAGAAAACCUCUAAAAAAACUUAGAAGGGUACUUAAUUAUUCGAAUUCAACGAGAAAAGUGGCAACCCAAUAAGUUAGGGCACUGCUUUCUCGAAAUUUCCAAACACCAAGCAUUGCCUUAUUUGCAAAAAAUCUUAUUUCGAGGUAACAAAUAAAUGAAUAAAACGAAUAAAAAGAUAAUAACAAAUAAGCUAGGAAAUAUUCGGGAUAAAAAAAAACUAGUAAUAAAUAAACAAUCAUUAUGUAAGACUAAAGUAUGAUAGUAUAGUGAAGAUAAUAAUAAUAUUAAUAGUAAUAAUACAAAUAAAAAUUUUGGAAUGAUGUGUGAAAUUAUAUAUAUGUAUGUGAAUAUAUAGAUAAGUAAACAAUAUAUAUAGUGAGUGAAGAGUAAAAGGUAAAACAAGUGUAUUUAAAGAGUAAUGGGUAAAAAUAUAAUAAUAGUGUAAUAGUAGUAAUAACGUAAUAGUAUUAGAAAUAUACGAUAUAUAAUAUUGAAGGUAAAUACAUAAUAUAUACAUAUUAGAAAUAAUCAUAAUAUUAGAAACAACUAUUAAUAAUACUACAUAAAUAGAUAUAUAGUAGUAGCAUAUACAUGAUAUAGUUAAAAAAUAUAUAAAGUAAGAUAAUAUGGGAAAUAAAAAAUAUAUAAACGAUAUAAUAUUAGGGCAUAUGCAAAACAAUAAAAAUACAAUAUUAAAAGAUAUAUAUAAUGUAUACAUAAUAUAAUAUUAAAAUAUUUACAUGGUAUAUACAUAAUAAUGUAAAAAAUAAACUAUUAGUAAUAUUAUAAAUAUAUACAUAUAGUAGUAAUAAUAAUAUAAAGGUAUUUCAUAUAAACAGGUAUGCACGUGAAAAAAAAAAGAGAAAAAUAAUAAUUACAAAAGUAUGAAAUCAAAAUAAUAUGUAGAAACAUGUUUAUUCUAAAAAGAAUAAUUGAAACUUAAGUGAGAGAAAAAACAAAAUCCAAGAGAUAACUUACAAGUAAAACAAAUUAUUGAAACAGAAUUUUGGGCUAAAAUUAAUUGUGUAUAAAUGUCCGAGAUCUAAAAUUAAAAAUGCCCCCAAAUCUUAAAAUACCUCGCAAAGGGGGCAAAUUGAAAUAGCAUACAGACUGCAGGGCCAAUUUAAAAUAAUAUAAAACUUAAAUAUGACCCGAUUGAAGGCUAACACAAAGGAGGGGACCAAUUGCGCAAAAUACCCAAUUAAAGGUGACAUGCAUGGUCCCAAGCAAAAAAGUUGAUUCCACUCCCCCAUGCUACUUUGUUUUAUUAUUAAUUAAAACUACUCCCCAUGCUAUUUUGUUUUAUUAUUAAUUAAAACUAUUCCCCCAUACUAUUUUGUUUUCAUUAUUAAUUAAAACCAUUCCCCCAUACUAUUUUGUUUUUAUUAUUAAUUAAAACCAUACUUUAUUUUCUCUUUUUUUAUCAUAAAAAAAAUCUUUUCUUUUUUUAAGAAAAAAAAACAACAAAAAAAAGAGUUAAAACACCACCUUACCACCCUACAUUCAUUUUUCAAAAUAAAGAGAAGGCUCUCAACUCUCUCAACCCUUCCCCUCCUCCGGUCAUCGGACCGGCCAUCAACCGUCACGCCGGUCACCGGCCACCGACGGCGGCGGCGCCGUCCACGGUGGGCGAAAAAUCUUCUGAGGCCCUUUUUUCGCUUCUCUUCUCGAGUGGAGCCCGGAUUUGGGGUUAAAACAACCCAAAAACCUUCAUAAAUUAAUGAGAAACACCAUAAAACUCAAGAAUCCAUUCGGAUUCUGGCCACCGAUCCUUGGCGGUGGCUUCCUCGGUCGUCCACAAUGUUGGAAAACCGAACACCGGUAAGUUCCUUCCCUCUUUUCCUUUUUUUUUAUUUUUCAAGUUUUUUUGUGUUAAAAUAUUUGUAAAAUAGAUAAAAUGAACGAAUAGAAAGAAGAUCAAAAAUAAAAAUAAGGACAAACACUUUUUGAACUUGUUUUCUCCUUUUGAUUUCUCCCGAAAAUCUCUGUAAUACAACCCCCCUUAAUACAAUCUCUUCUCUCCAAAAAUCAAUCGAUUCUUCCUCAAAAUACCAUCGAUCCCCCCACCAACAAUCGGUUCUAGUAUGGCUUUUAUAGCCAUUUACAAACUUUAUUAUAUAUAUUUGCUAUCUUUUCUUCUUCUUGUAUGGCAGGCAAAUGGUGGUGGAGGCAUGUGCCACUUGGUAGUGGUUGGAAGUGGGUGGUUGAGGCUUGCGGCUAGGGUUUCUAAUUUCUGAAAAUAGGUUGUGGGCUAGGGUUUCUAAGCCUUUGGGCUUCUUUUAGGUUUUAAUUUUUGGGUUGUAAGCUUUGUUUGUAAAUGGACUUUUAAUGGGCAUUUUGAUUUUUUUCUUUAUUUUUUUUUCAAAAUUUGGUUUAUUUAUUUUAAGGCCCGGGCAAAAUAUGGGUUCUACAGCUGCCCCUCUUUGCUCAUUGUUGUGUUAACAGGAAUAGAGCAAAGACUAAAAAGACCCAAUUUUGCUCGGGCUUGCCGAGUUUUGAGUUCUUCGAUCUGCUUCUUCGAUCUGUUCCCUAUAAACACAGGGAUGCCAAAUCUGCUAUCUUCAACUUGUUCCCUAUAAACACAGGGAUGCCAUGCUGAAAUCUUCGAUCUGCUUCAUUGUAACUCAGGAAGGCGAUAUCUACUAUCUUUGAUCUGCCCCCCGUCUACUAUAGAGACGCCAAAUCUAUUUCUUCGAUUUGUUCCUUGACGAUAAAGAGACGACAAAUCAUCUUAGAUUUGCUUUCUCGUAAUCACGUGAAAGCCAAAUCAGCUAUGUCUUUGAUUUGUUCCUUGUAAACACAAGGAUGCCAAACCAUCUUGGAUCUGCUUCAGUGAAAUCAUCUGAAGGCGAGAUCUGCUAUGUGUCUGCUCUCCAUCAAAGUGAAGAUGCCAAACUUCGAUUCGUUCUCUGAUGAUACAGAGACGACAAAUCAUCUUAGAUUUGCUUUCUCGUAAUCACGUGAAAGCCAAAUCAGCUAUGUCUUCGAUUUGUUCCUUGUAAACACAAGGAUGCCAAACCAUCUUGGAUCUACUUCAGUGAAAUCAUAUGAAGGCGAGACCUGCUAUGUGUCUGCUCUCCAUCAAAGUGAAGAUGGCAAACUUCGAUUCGUUCUCUAACGAUACAGAGACGACAAAUCAUCUUAGAUUUGCUCCAUCGUAAUCACGUGAAAGCCAAAUCAGCUAUGUCUUCGAUUUGCUCCUUGUAAACACAAGGAUGCCAAACUAUCUUGGGUCUGCUUCAGUAUAACAUCUAAAGGCCAGAUCUGUUAUGCUGCGGCCUAUUACCCUACUGCUUAAGGGAUUAAGGCGCGUCAUCUUGUAGAAUGAUUAUGCCUGAUAAUUAGGAUGUCAUGCUUGAAGUGAGUUAAAUGUUCCUAAUUAAACAUGUUAUGAUGCAAAAUGUCAUGAAAAUGACCCCUAUCCUAGACGUCAUCAUUCAUUCUUUCAUUUGCCUUUCUUUUCUCAAAGCUUCAUUCACGCUCAGCCCGUAGGCCUGUACCCUUCCUCCAAUGCUACGAUCCGCUGAUGAUGUUUGUAAAACAAUCUUUUCUUAAAAUUGAAUCAUUGAUUUUGUUCAUUUUCCCUUUAGUCUGGAUGAAAGAAAUUCCUCGAGUUCCUUUAUCCUUUACUUACGUGAAUUUAUCGAACAAUUGUCCUGUUUUAGUUUCUUGUAUUGUCUAGAAAUUUCAGAGUAAUGCGCAAAACUUCGUUUGUAAACAUAUUUAAUUCAUCUAUCAUUAUUUCAAUGCAAUAUGGAAGAUGAAUAAAUCUUUAAGAAUAAUUGGAUUUGAAUGAAUUAAGAAGAAAUAAUACAAAGGAAAUUAAUCUGAAGGUCUAUCUUUAGGAAGGAAUAGAAUCUAAAGAUGGAAAACAAGAUAGAAGUUAGAUCCUCCAGAUAUCACCGCUUGAGUGCCUAUACACCAGCUCCAUGAAGUCUUUCUUGAGUUCAAAAUGUGUUUAAAAGAUCCCAAGUACUCUGUUGAUGCCCCAGUUUGUAGCAUUCUUUGCUCUUUGUAACAAGAUUACUGCGUACUCUUCAAAAUUUGAGCUGCCCUUACAGGUUUUCAACUUAAAAACCUUUUGGUCACAAGGUGCCUUUUGCGGGUUUUCACCUUGGCCUCUCUGUUUUUGAUUUUUUUUUCUCAAGGUGCCCUUUGCGGGUUUUCACCUUAGAUUCUCUUCUUCUUUAGACAAAGUAUUUUUUAACUGAGUCCGAGUUCACUGGAUUAGGUAAACUUUUCCCAUCCAUUUCUGCUAAGAUCAAUGCACCACCGGAGAAAGCUUUCUUCACAACAUACGGCCCUUCCCAAUUCGGCAUCCAUUUUCCUCUAAAAUCCUUUUGUAUAGGAAGGAUCUUUUUCAGUACAAGGUCUCCCUCAUGGAAUUCUCUUGGUCGAACUUUCUUGUCAUAAGCUCGCAUCAUUCGCUUCUGAUACAUCUGACCAUGUCGAAUGGCUUUUAGCCUCUUUUCUUCAAUCAAGUUCAACUGGUCAUACCGGGAUUGAACCCACUCAGCUUCAUCUAACUUUACUUCUGUCAAAAUUCGAAGAGAAGGUAUUUUUACUUCAAUAGGUAAUACUGCUUCCAUCCCGUAAAGUAACGAGAAUGGAGUUGCCCCAGUAGAGGUUCUGACAGAUGUUCGAUAGGCCAGGAGUGCAAACGGUAACUUCUCUUGCCAAUCUCUAUAGGUCCCAGUCAUCUUCCCCACUAUUUUCUUAAUAUUCUUGUUGGCAGCUUCUACCGCCCCAUUCAUUUUUGGACGAUAGGGGGAAGAAUUGUGAUGCUUAAUCUUGAACUAGUCGCAAACUUCUUCUAUCGUUUUGUUGUUUAGGUUCAAUACAUUGUCGGAUAUGAUCUUCUCAGGCAUUCCAUACCGACAAAUGAUCUCCUUCUUCAAGAAUCGACUCAUAGCUGACUUAGUAACAUUCGCAUAAGAAGCAGCCUCUACCCAUUUUGUGAAGUAGUCAAUUACUACAAAGAUAAACCGAUGUCCAUUCGAAGCUCUCAAUGAUAUUGGUCCAAUAACAUCCAUGCCCCAUAUGGAAAAGGGCCAUGGAGAAGUCAUAACAUGCAAAGGUGAAGGUGGUACAUGAAUUUUAUCCUCAUAAAUCUGGCACUUAUGGCAUUUCUUGGUGUAACUAAUGCAAUCCCCUUCCAUAGUGGCCCAAUAAUAGCCAAACCUCUUGAUUUGCCUUGCCAUCGUGAACCCAUUUGCAUGCGUCCCGCAUACACCUUCGUGAACUUCUUCUAGAAUUAACUUAGCUUCCACAGCAUCGACACAUCUCAAAAGUACUUGGUCUUUUCGUCUUUGGUACAGGAUAUCUUCGUCUAAAACAUAGUCGCAAGCUAACCUCCUCAAGGUUCGUUUGUCAUUUUCAUUGGCCUGUUCAGGGUAUUUACGAUCUCUCACGUAUCGUAAUAUAUCUUGAUACCAGGGGUUAUUGUCAUUUCCCUCCCUCUCAAUGUUACAACAAUGAGCUAGAGCCUCGUAAACACUCAUUUGAAUUGGCUUCAUUUCUUCUUCUUUAUUUGCCUUGAUCAUUAAAGCCAAGGUUGCUAAAGCAUCUGUCAUCUGAUUUUUGUCUCGUAGGAGAUAAUUGAAGGUAAUGUUAUCAAAUUCCUCAAGUAACCCCAAAACUACCUUUCGGUAACUAAUCAAUUUAGGGUCCCUUGUCUCUCAUUCACCUCUAAGCUGAUAAACAAUCAACGCUGAAUCCCCAUAUACUUCUAGAGUUUUUAUACCUCACUCUAUAGCUGCUUGAAGUCCCGUGAUGCAUGCUUCAUAUUCAGCCAUAUUGUUUGUGCAAUCAAAGUCCAACUUGCACAUAAAAGGAUAAUGAUCGCCAUUCGGAGAUACCAAAACUGCCCCAAUUCCAUUUCCGACUGCAUUAAAAGCCCCAUCAAAAUUGAGCCUCCAAGAAGAAUUUUCAGUCAUUGCUAUACACAUCAACUCCUCAUUUGGAAAAUCGAAGUUUAGUGGCUCAUAAUCCUCUAGAGCCCUACUAGCCAAGAAGUCCGCUACCGCACUUCCUUUUAUAGCCUUCUGACUUAUGUAGACUAUAUCAAACUCCGAAAGUAAAAUUUGCCAUCUCGCCAUUCUCCCAUUUAGAGCUGUUGACUCCAUCAUGUAUUUCAACGGAUCAAGUUUUGAGAUGAGCCAAGUGGUAUGGUAUAGCAUGUACUGUCUUAAUCUUCGAGUUGUCCAAAUCAGCGCACAACACAACUUUUCGAUUGGUGAAUAUCUCAUCUCACAGUCAGUGAACUUCUUACUGAGAUAAUAAAUUGCCUUCUCCUUUUUCCCUGACUCAUCAUGCUGGCCAAGCACACAUCCCAUAGAAUUACUGAACACUGAUAAGUACAGUAUUAAUGGUUUAUCUAGGCUAGGUGGAGACAAUAUUGGAGCAUUCAACAAAUACUACUUGACCUUUUCAAAAGCAUUCUAGCAUUCCCCAUCCCAAAUACCUUGAUUGUGCUUUCUGAGGAGGCGAAAGAUAGGAUCACAUUUCUCGGUUAGUUGUGAAAUGAACCGAGCAAUGUAAUUCAACCUUCCUAGGAAUCCUCGAACUUCUUUUUGAGUACGUGGUGGAGGUAAUUCUCGUAUGGCUCUGACCUUGUCUGAGUCGACUUCAAUUCCUUUUUCACUGACUACGAAGCCUAACAACUUUUCGGAUUUGGCUCCAAAGGUACACUUUGCUGGAUUGAGCUUCAACUGAAAUUUUCUCAACCUUACAAACAAUCUUCUCAAGACCUCAAUAUGCUCUUUUUCCGUACGGGACUUGGCAAUCAUAUCAUCGACGUAUACCUCAAUAUCCUUAUGCAUCAUGUCGUGGAACAAGUUCACCAUGGCCUUUUGGUACGUUGCCCCUGCAUUUUUUAGUCCAAAUGGCAUUACUUUAUAGCAAAAGGUGCCCCAUAAGGUUAUAAAGGUGGUUUUAUCCAUGUCCUCUGGAUGCAUCUUUAUCUGGUUGUAUCCUGAGAAACCAUCCAUAAAGGAGAACAAUGAAUAUCCCGCUGUGUUAUCUACUAAAGUGUCAAUGUGGGGUAAAGGAAAAUUAUCUUUUGGGCUUGCUUUGUUCAAGUCUCUGUAACCAACACACAUUCGUACUUUUCCAUCCUUCUUGGGGACUGGCACAAUGUUAGCUACCCAUUCGGAGUACUUCACUUCUUGCAAGAAUCCUGCAUCAAACUGUUUCUUGACUUCAUCCUUUAUCUUCAAAACGAUAUCUGGCCUCAUUCUUUGCAACUUCUGUUGGACUGGCUUACAAUCUUGUUUUAUCGGAAGACGAUGUACCACAAUGUCAGUACUCAAUCCAGGCAUAUCUUGAUAUGACCAGGCGAAGAUAUCCUUGAACUCUCGAAGCAACUCAAUCAGACCAUGCCUUGUGUCCACGCCAAUUAGGGUUCCGAUUUUCAACUCCUUCCCUUCCUCUAGGGCUAUAUUCUCUAUUGCCUAUUUCUCAUGUGGCAUGAUUUGUUUCUCCUCCUACUUAACCAUUCUUAACAGAUCAAGAGAUACGUCACAAUCCUAAACAUUUUCAAAAUCCUGAGGUUCCUCUAAACACAUGUCUUGCUCGCUAGAGAAAUUAUGAGCUGUAGUAUCAGCGCUCACAUCAUUGAUAUCUAAGGACCUGUGGGGGUAUGAAAGAAUAUAGAAAGAAUGAAUGAAUCAAAGAAUGAUUCUUUAUGUGCUAUGAAUAAAAGAAUAAGAAUUGCUAGAAUUUAGAGGAAUAUUGGUCGAUAAAAAUAGAACGAUACUCGUUUAAAUUGAUAAGAAGUUAUGUUUUAUUUAAAUAAUUAUAGAUGAACAUAAGCCUAUUUCACGAAUAUAAUCUUACUACUCCUAGGCCCUAGAGUAACAGACAUGUUUUGAGAAUUACUCUGAAAAAUUCCUAAAGACUACAGGAAGGUCUUCCGCAGUCCAAUUAUUCAGAGAGCUCCCAUGUUCGUAAGAACGAAUGCCCUCGAGGCUUCCUUGCUCCAAUCCUUCAUUGUGUACAGCAUUAACUUGAUGACUUUCCUUUAUCAGCAAUCCUCCUGAUUUGAAGGAUUUGGAUAUAGGUGGGAAUGUCAUCGGUUCCCACUCCACUUCUCUUCCAUUCAAAUGCGCAUUUCUUCUCGCUUGGCGCUUCUCUAUUUCCUGCCUCUUGUGCUUGUGGUCUGGCGUGAAGCCCAAGCCAAAGCGGUCCUUCUUCUCAAUCAUUUUUGGGAUUUGAACCUCUCCCUGCAACUGUCUUCCUAGCUCUUUUCCCGGCAAUGCUCCUUUCCCCAUCAUCAUUUGUAGGGUCAUCCUCGUGGCUCCAGACAUUUUGGGUACCGGCACUUUGCUUCCCUCCAAAAUAAAGGUGGCCUUAAUGACCUCUAAAGAGCGGAAAGAAUAUUCAAUAGCCUCUUCAUUUGCCUCAACAUAAGGGGCCUUGCUGGUAACUACCGCUAUGAUGUCCUCUUCCGCAUUGAUGGUUAUUAAGCGACCAUCCAUCACUAACUUUAAUUUUUAGUGCAAUAAAGAGGGCACUGCUCCUGCCGAGUGUAUCCAUGGUCUCCCCAAUAAACAAUUGUAGGAGGGCUUGAUAUCCAUUACUAGGAAAUCAACUUCAUAUGUAUUCGACCCAAUCUCCAGAGGGAUGUCAAUUCGUCCCAUUACUUUUCUUUCAGUUCCAUCAAAGGCUCUUACCACAUUAUGACACAUUUUCAUAUGCGAACUGUCAAUGGGCAAUCUGUUCAGGGUGGAUAGCGACAGGACGUUCAAAGCAGACCCAUUAUCCACGAGUACACUUAGAAGUGUGUAUCGUUUGCACCGAGUAGUGAUGUGUAGGGCUUUGGUUGACCCUAUGCCCUCAGGUGGAAUUUCAUCAUCAUUAAAAUAAAUGAAAUUGUUAGCACUAAUGUUGUUUACUAACCGGUCUAGCUUGUUAACGGAUAUGUCAUGGGUAACAUAUGUUUCGUUAAGCACCUUUAACAAUGCAUCUCGAUGCACCUCAGAAUUCAAGAGUAGGCUAACACUGAUAUACGCGCCGACUGCUUGUGCAACUACUCGACCACGCUAUACUCGCUAUGUUUCAGGAACUUUAGAAACUCCUUAGCCUCUUCCUCCUUUACCGGCUCAUUGAUGAGUACUUCAGUCUCCUUCUCCCUUUCAGCCUCGACAUCUUUCGUCUUUGCGGGCUCUACUAUGAUAUUCCCCCCGUCAUAAAGUUUCUCACUUCGUGUAUAAGAACCUUUAUUUUGCGUGCCCCUGGAUGCGCUAGCUAUACUCUCCCCCUCAGGUAUUGUUAUAUUGCAGUCAUAGCUCUAUGGCACCCUCCUGUCAUCCUUAUAAGGGAAAGGAUUGGGUUUACGGAUGACUAUUUUGGGCCUAGUUUGCGACCCCUCCUCAUUAUUCCCUGGCAAGGAAAUAAUAAUUCUCGGUUGGUUGGUUCUUUGUCGUUCAUUCUCCAGCACACAUAUUUGUCUUUCAUAAAAACUACCUUUAGAAACUUGCAACUCUUUGUUAACUAUAAGGCCUUGUACCAUGACUUUGAACUUUUCACAAUUUUGGAUCAUAUGACCCACUUCCCCAUGGAACUCACAAUGGUUCUCUAUUCCAUCUCCUCCUUUUCUAGAGGUCAAUAUACCUUUCUUCACCAUCUCCUCCCAUAUUACCUUCAUAGGUGUCUUCACCUCAGCAAUGUCUUCCUUGAUUUUUCUUUUCUUUGUUUCAUCAAUGGCAUUCACUCCUUGAUUGCCAUGAUCCGGUAACGGAUUUUCGGCAUUAGGGGUACUGUCAAAUUUCACAACCCCCAUCUUGAUAAGCCUCUCCAUGGCCUUCUUGAAUCCUGUGCAGUUUUCGAUCAAAUGCCCCGGUAUUCCCGUAUGAUAUUCGCACUUAGCAUUUGCAUCAUACCAUCUGGGGUAUGGUGGCUGUAGUGGUUUCAAGUGAAAUGGAGCAAUGGCAUGUGCAUCAUACAAGCUUUGAUAAAGCUCACGAUACGUCACAGGGAUAGGCGUAAAUUGCAUUCUUUCCGAAUUCUGUCUUAUGCCCGAUUCCUGUCUUUGGGUAUUUUGUUGUUCGACCAUAGCUGCUUUGGGUUGACCAACUGUGAUUGCCCUCGAGUUGAGACUAUUAACCUCAUUAUCCUUUCUCUUUGGGGUCGAUCUUUUAGCCACUUCCGCCUCGAUUUUACCGCCUCUCACGGCAUUCUCAAUCAUCUCACCCGCCAUAACUAUAUCCACAAAACUUUUUGUGGUACUUCCAAUCAUAUGUGUGAUGAAUGGCGCCUUCAAAGUAUUAAUAAAUAACAUGGUGGUUUCCUUUUCUAACAAUGGUGGUUGUACUUGCAUUGCCACUUCCCUCCAUCGUUGAGCAUAUUGCCUAAAACUUUCAUUAGGUUUUUUCUCCAUGUUUUGAAGUGUGAUCCUAUCUGGCGUCAUAUCAGUCACAUGGUUAUACUGUUGCAUGAAAGCCUGUGCAAGAUCUCUCCAUGAACUGAUUCUUGCACGGCUCAACUGAUUGUACAACCUAGCCGCCGCUCCCACUAGGCUGUCUUGAAAACAAUGGAUCAAUAGUUGAUCGUUGUUCACAUAACCAGUCAUUCUUCUACAAAACAUUGUUAUGUGUGCCUCUGGGCAAGUAGUCCCAUUGUACUUUUCAAACUCUGGCAUCUUAAAUUUAUGAGGAAGCACCAAAUUUGGAACCAAACUUAAGUCUUUGGCAUCAAUCCCAUGAUGAUUGCCAGCGCCUUCUAAAACCCUAAACUUCUCCUCUAACCACCUGCAACGAUCUUCCAAUUAUUUUGAGGAUUCAGUGGCCAUUCUUUCCUUCUCCAUUAAAUCCAGAUCAGGAGUAAUAGGGUUGAUCGAGCUAUCACCCAAAUUAUUUCCCAACCCAGAUGGGAAAUUUAUGAGGAUUUUAGCAUCCACUGGCCCAUAUUGAGGCCUUACUGUGACAGAUAGCCUUCUAAGGGGUGCCUCGGUUUGUAGGGGCACAUGAGGCGGAGUAAAACCCAGAGGAGGACCUUCAUUAUCCUCUUCAAUGAUCACCAUGGGAGCUUUUCCUUUAUCAGUGGCUCUUAGCAGCUGAGCCAUUUCGACCAUCAUGUUUCUCUGAGCCUCUAGCAUCUGCUCCCUCAUUUCAUUCUGUAUUUUGGCCAACUGCUCUUGCAUUUGAUCUUGCAUAUCUUUUUGUAAUUGCUCAAACCUUUGAUCCAUGUUCUUAGUUUUAGUACGAGUGCCGUAAGGAUGUGUGAUUUCCAGAUUUUCUUUUCUACCUCUCUGGAAAGAAAACUUUAACUAAUUAGGGUCUUUUUAUAACUUUGAAUGCAAAUGAUAUGAUGAAAUGUUAUGAGAUGCAAAUGCAUGAAUGCAAAAAGAAUAUCGAUUCUGGUUCAACUUCAUUUAGAAAAUUUUAUUUAGAAAAAGAAUAUCUUUACAUAUAAGAGGAUUACAAAUACGAUUUCGCCCUAAGGCCCAAAGUUUUAACUCUAUCUAAUAAAAGGGCUAACUUUCAUCCUACAUCCGACGAUGAUGAAUACAUCAGACUCAAUACGUCAGCUCGAAUUGCCAAGUCUUGCACAUACUCAGCAACCUCUCGAAUCUGAGCUAUGGCUUCACCAAUGACAUGAUCCCUUUUUCUGACCUAUUCUUUAGCCUGAUGUAGCUCUCCCCUCAGAUAAUCCUUUUGCGCCUUGAGCUGCUCAACCCGGAGUUCACCGUCAUGCAAUACCACCUCCAAAUCUUCAACCUUGCUUCUUAGCUCCUUUAACUCGACCGUAGAAUUAUGGUUUUGGUGCCAACGCAGGGAUCUUCCAAGUUCCAUUACCUUGGUCUUCAAUCCUUUAUUCUCUUCCUCUAUUGCCAAAUUCUUCCCCCGCAUUUCUUGGAAUUUCCUCUCCCAGUACUCAGCUCUAUCCUUUUCUUCUUGAACCUCCUUCUGCCACUGAUUCGAAGAUCCUCUUACCCUCGCCCUCCUCAAGGCUACUUGUGCCCUUUUGUAAUGCUCCCUUAGAUCAUCUCGAUCUUCCUCAAUCUUCCUUUUUUCUUUCCUCUCUUUCUCGACUUCCAUCUUUUGAACAUCAACGUCCAAACUUAAGUACAUCUUUUCUUCUUUGAGCUUUGCUAUCCUCCUCUCGAACUCCAAGCUUUGUCUCUCGAACUCCUGUUUCAUAAUUUCUAACCUUGAGGGCCUUACUUGCAAAUAUUCCUCCAUUGGUCGAGCUCCUUCCAUACUUGGCUUAGGGAUAUUAUCAUUAACUCUUCUACCUCUCCAUUCUAUGUAUUCCGGUGUCGUAGCGGGGCUAAUAGCUUUUCCUCUCAAUCGACAAGUCUUCUUCCAAGCACUAGAAACUUCACUAACCCUCCUCUUGUAAUCGGCUUCUCUAUAUACAAACUCACUUUGAGCCAAACCCUGAGUCGCUGGUAUGAACUGUCUCAAUCCAUGCUGCCUCAGUACGAGCAAAGGGGCAUAGCCAAUGGCACCCCAAAUCCCCAAUAAGGGUACCCAAUCAAAACUACCGCAUCGGUAAAGAACCUCACCAGGCAUCAUCCACGGAGCCCUCCACUCGACAUCUUUCGACUGAAGGUUCUGAAGUAACGCUAUCCAAUUCUCUUCUGGAACAUCAAAUCUCCUGGUUGAAACUACUAUAUCUUUCAACGGUGAAUAAUCCUCAAAGUAAACCCGACAAACCACCCUAUCUAUCAACCGGAAAUGACUGUAAAACCAAGCCAAAAGCAGCUGAGCACACCCUAUAAACCUGCCAGCACCAGCCCUCCUACAUGCACCUAAAGACCUAAAUGUUUCCGCUAAAAUUACAGGGACAGAAGUGACCUUUUUACUGAGUCGAUGAAAAAGAUCCGUGGUUGCCUCAUCCACAUAUCCCAAAGCCCUAGGGAAGACCAUCAAUCCAUAUAAACUUAGGGCAAAAACAUCUAUCUUCUUUGUCUCAUCAGGGUGUGUCAAAAUCAAAUCUUUCAAAGCAUCCCACGAAAUGCACUUGCACUCACCCUUUUCUUUAAUUCAGGCCGUGGCCCACUGCUCGCUCAUCCCCGUAAUAAUUAUCAAUUUCUUCCAAAAGGUAGGGACACAAGGAGCUCGGGAAUAGAUCCUAUCAUUUUGAAACCGGGGACAACAAAGUAAAUCAGUGUACUCUUCCACAGUAGGUACCAUGUCUACUUCCCCAAAAGUGAAGCAACUGUACGCCAGGUUCCAAAACUGAGCAAAGGCUCUGAAUAAGUGCUCGUCUAUCUGAACAUCAAGCAAGUAAGGUAAGUCUCCAUAGUUACCGUAGAAUAAUUGCUUAGUCUCUUUGCCCCACUGAUCCCAAAUUUCCUUGAGCUCUUGGAGAUUAUUCUGUGUGACACUUAUACGAGUAUAAUCUGGCAGUUCCGACACAUAUCCUAUAGCUAUAUUGUCUCCCUUUUCUAGUUGAGUUUGCUCGGACCAUCUGUGGACGUUAACGUUUCCUUCCACUUUAUCAAGAAGUUCGUUCUCCAUAAUAAAACUUCCUAAUUUAGAAACUGACCAUGAACCGAUAUCUUUGUAAAUGCAAAAUGACAUGCAAGCAAAAGAAAAGAGAUAGUCAGUAUCACAUAAUAUCAAUAAAUUUCAACGAUAACUUAUAAGGGUAAUGUCUAAGUUGGGCUUAUACGGUCCUUCGACAUGGGUUGGUUCUAAAGUUUGAGGUACCCGAACCAGCAGAUUCCUCGAUCCUCACCCAUUAUAGGCUCAUUUGAAUCGAGUUCAGUUCAGGGGAAUACAUUUCCCUAUGGCUACAUGGAGAUGAAAAUCUCACGAAACCAUAGGUACGGAUGUAUCCCAAAAGUGAUCCACUAUCCUGCACCAAGGCGAAAACCUCACGAAGGCGUAGCUUCUCACUCCCACUUAACGGUGUGACCACAACGGUCAUGCAAAAUGCAAUGCGAUCAAAAUAUAGCAUGUAAUAAUACAAACACAUGUAAUGCAAAGAGGAUUAAAUUUUAAAGUUUUUAAUUUCUGACAUUAAGACGAGAGAUAAUCAACUACAUGGCCUGACUCUCUUAUUACGUCCCCAGUGGAGUCGCCAAGCUGUCGAAACCAUCUUCAAAUCGAGUUUUGGAAAAUGGGAAUCAAUUUUAAAAAACGAAAACGGGAAUCGCCACCAAUCUUUUUAGGUGUGAUUGGAUCACCUUUAAAACAUUUUUGUUUUAAAAUCAUUAGUUUUGGUCCAUGAAAUAAAAGAACCGGUUCGGGAGUCAGUUACGUACGAGGAAGGAUUAGCACCCUCGUAACGCCCAAAAAUUGGUACCUAAUUGAUUAUCAAAUGUCUUUAAUGUCGAAAGAAAAAAAAAUUUAAGAUGUAGUCCUCUUUAAAAUAUUUUAACUUUGAAAAUUGGGAUUCACUAGCGUCAAAGUAUUGACAUUAAGUUAUCCCUUUUUUGAAAUUCCUAUCUCGAAACAGCAAAACGCUAUAUCCAAUAAGUUAGGACAUAUUGCUUUGAAAUUCCAAGAUAGUGGCUUGCAUUUAGAAAACCUCUAAAAAAACUUAAAAGGGUACUUAAUUAUUCGAAUUCAACGAGAAAAGUGGCAACCCAAUAAGUUAGGGCACUGCUUUCUUGAAAUUUCCAAACACCAAGCAUUGCCUUAUUUGCAAAAACUCUUAUUUCGAGAUAACAAAUAAAUGAAUAAAACGAAUAAAAAGAUAAUAAUAAAUAAGCUAGGAAAUAUUCGGGAUAAAAAAAACUAGUAAUAAAUAAACAAUCAUUAUGUAAGACUAAAGAAUGAUAGUAUAGUGAAGAUAAUAAUAAUAUUAAUAGUAAUAAUACAAAGAAAAAUUUUGGAAUGAUGUGUGAAAUUAUAUAUAUGUAUGUGAAUAUAUAGAUAAGUAAACAAUAUAUAUAGUGAGUGAAGAGUAAAAGGUAAAACAAGUGUAUUUAAAGAGUAAUGGGUAAAAAUAUAAAAAUAGUGUAAUAGUAGUAAUAACGUAAUAGUAUUAGAAAUAUACGAUAUAUAAUAUUGAAGGUAAAUACAUAAUAUAUACAUAUUAGAAAUAAUCAUAAUAUUAGAAACAACUAUUAAUAAUACUACAUAAAUAGAUAUAUAGUAGUAGCAUAUACAUGAUAUAGUUAAAAAAUAUAUAAAGUAAGAUAAUAUGGGAAAUAAAAAAAUUAUAUAAACGAUAUAAUAUUAGGGCAUAUGCAAAACAAUAAAAAUACAAUAUUAAAAGAUAUAUAUAAUGUAUACAUAAUAUAAUAUUAAAAUAUUUACAUGGUAUAUACAUAAUAAUGUAAAAAAUAAACUAUUAGUAAUAUUAUAAAUAUAUACAUAUAGUAGUAAUAAUAAUAUAAAGGUAUUUCAUAUAAAUAGGUAUGCACGUGAAAAAAAAAGAGAAAAAUAAUAAUUACAAAAGUAUGAAAUCAAAAUAAUAUGAAGAAACAUGUUUAUUCUAAAAAGAAUAACUGAAACUUAAUUGAGAGAAGAAACAAAAUCCAAGAGAUAACUUACAAGUAAAACAAAUUAUUGAAUCAGAAUUUUGGGCUAAAAUUAAUUGCAUAUAAAUUUCCGAGAUCUAAAAUUAAAAAUGCCCCCAAAUCUUAAAAUACCGCGCAAAUGGGGCAAAUUGAAAUAGCAUACAGACUGCAGGGCCAAUUUAAAAUAAUAUAAAACUUAAAUAUGGCCCGAUUGAAGGCUAACACAAAGGAGGGGACCAAUUGCGCAAAUUACCCAAUUAAAGGUAACAUGCAUGGUCCCAAGCAAAAAAGUUGAUUCCACUCCCCCAUGUUACUUUGUUUUAUUAUUAAUUAAAACUACUCCCCCAUACUAUUUUGUUUUAUUAUUAAUUAAAACUAUUCCCCCAUAUUAUUUUGUUUUCAUUAUUAAUUAAAACCAUUCCCCCAUACUAUUUUGUUUUUAUUAUUAAUUAAAACCAUACUUUAUUUUCUCUUUUUUUUUAUCAUAAAAAAAUCCUUUCUCUUUUAAGAAAAAAAAACAACAAAAAAAAGAGUUAAAACACCACAUUACCACCCUACAUUCAUUUUUCAAAAUAAAGAGAAGGCUCUCAACUCUCUCAACCCUUCCCCUCCUCCGGUCAUCGGACCGGCCAUCAACCGUCACGCCGGUCACUGGCCACCGACGGCGGCGCCACCGUCCACGGUGGGCAAAAAAUCUUCCGAGGCCCUUUUUCGCUUCUCUUCUCGAGUAGAGCCUGGAUUUGGGGUUAAAACAACCCAAAAACCUUCAUAAAUUAAUGAGAAACACCAUAAAACUCAAGAAUCCAUUCGGAUUCUGGCCACCGAUCCUUGGCGGUGGCUUCCUCGGUCGUCUACAAUGUUGGAAAACCGAACACCGGUAAGUUCCUUCCCUCUUUUCCUUUUUUUUUAUUUUUCAAGUUUUUUUUGUGUUAAAAUAUUUGUAAAAUAGAUAAAAUGAACGAAUAGAAAGAAGAUCAAAAAUAAAAAUAAGGACAAACACCUUUUAAACUUGUUUUCUCCUUUUGAUUUCUCCCGAAAAUCUCUGUAAUACAACCCCCCUUAAUACAAUCUCUUCUCUCCAAAAAUCAAUCGAUUCUUCCUCAAAAUACCAUCGAUCCCCCCACCAACAAUCGGUUCUAGUAUGGCUUUUAUAGCCAUUUACAAACUUUAUUAUAUAUAUUUGCUAUCUUUUCUUCUUCUUGUAUGGCAGGCAAACGGUGGUGGAGGCAUGUGCCACUUGGUAGUGGUUGGAAGUGGGUGGUUGAGGCUUGCGGCUAGGGUUUCUAAUUUCUGAAAAUAGGUUGUGGGCUAGGGUUUCUAAGCCUUUGGACUUCUUUUAGGUUUUAAUUUUUGGGUUGUAAGCUUUGUUUGUAAAUGGACUUUUAAUGGGAAUUUUGAUUUUUUCUUUAUUUUUUUUCAAAAUUUGGUUUAUUUAUUUUAAGGCCCGGGCAAAAUAUGGGUUCUACACUUGUGAAACAGGGUCUGAAUGAAUUCGAGAUCCCCUGUUCUGACUUUAGAAAUUCACCAAAAAUUGUAAAAAAAUUAUUAAGAGUCAUACCUUACAUGCAUGGAUUUCUUAUUGAUUCUAUUUUAGGGGAAAUAAACUCCAUGGUCGUUGGAAUUUUGUACAGGGAGAAAUUUGGUUUGUAGGGCACAGGGGUCAGAGUGGUCAUACCCUGAGACAGGGGAGACUUUAACUAAUAAACUGUACUAAUUGGCCAAACCAAAAAUUCUAGAAAAAAAUUAGUAAGUAGACAUAUGAGUCUAGUUUCAAGAUAAAUAGACGAGAACAUUAUUCGAGUCUUGUACUAUGAGAUAAUUGAACUUUAGUACAGAAGGGUCAGAACUGUCAGACAGUGAAUCAGGGGUAACUUUGAGGAAUAAAAUGUAUUAUUUUGCUUAACAAAAAAUUUUGAAAAUUUUAUGGAAGAAAGGAAAAUAAGUCUAGUUUCAGGAAAAAUUAACGAAACUUAAUUUGGAGUUUUGUAGCUUCAGAUAUAAAUAAUUUAGUGACUGUUGCUCAGAAAGACAACUUGUAGUAAACUUGAGAAUAUAUUGUAAACAUUGAUAAAACAAGUGAAUGAGUGCUUAUUGUUUUCAUAUGAACUUACUAAGCGAAAGCUUACCCCCUCUUCUUUCCCAUGUUUUCUAGAGUUUCCAGGUUAGCUCGGGUUGGAGGCCGUCAGAGAUAUUAUCACACUGUCAAGCUAACGCUAUUGGUGUAGUGAUUUCAAGUACUUUGAGCCUAUGGCAUGUAUAGGAGUUUAAAUAUUAGAGUAUGUGAUAUGGCUUUAACCAUAUGUGUUGGCCUAUUUUGAUUAUGGGGUUGUAAAUCUAUUUUAAUUAUGCAUGCAUGUGUUAUGGUAUUAUGUGAUGAGUUUAUAAUGAUUAUAGUAUGAAUGUGGUAAAGAUGUGAGUAAAAUCUAUGAUAUCUAUUGCAUGUGAAAUUGCCAUAAUCAUUACAUGUUAGGAAUGUUUAAGUACCUAAUUUUGCCAUGUUGUAUGUUAUUGUAUAAGUAUGCGUGUAUCUAUUGUGAGUAUGACAAAAUGGCUUGGAAAAUAGCCUUGUAUUUGUCCAGGUUUUUGGACAUGGG
rnacentral:lncRNA from 1 species